CCUACGGGAGGCAGCAGUGAGGAAUAUUGGUCAAUGGGCGCGAGCCUGAACCAGCCAAGUAGCGUGAAGGAUGACUGCCCUACGGGUUGUAAACUUCUUUUAUAAAGGAAUAAAGUGAGGCACGUGUGCCUUUUUGUAUGUACUUUAUGAAUAAAGAUCGGCUAACUCCGUGCCAGCAGCCGCGGUCAUACGGAGGAUCCGAGCGUUAUUCGGAUUUAGUGGGUUUAAAGGUAGCGUAGAUGGGUUGUUAAGUCAGUUGUGAAAGUUUGCGGCUCAACCGUAAAAUUGCAAUGGAUACUGGCAGUCUUGAGUACAGGUGAGGUAGGUGGAAGUCGUGGUGUAGCGGUGAAAUGCGUAGAUAUCACGAAGAACUCCGAUUGCGAAGGCAGCUUACUAAACUGCCACUGACAUUGAGGCUCGAAAGUGUGGGUAUCAAACAGGAUUAGAUACCCCUGUAGUC
rnacentral:rRNA from 1 species